UUUAUCUAUCUUAACAACGGACAAUAUCGGGACAAACGAAAAAUGAUUACCGUCUUCCAUUAAAUUCAUGAUGACGUGGACAAUGACCUCAAAUAACCAAACGAAUACAUGAAAAUACAUGUACUUCGUAACUUGUAAGUGGUAAAUGACAAGGAAUUCCAUGAAAAACUGAAAAUAACUUAGUCUCCCAAAUAGCACAUUCCACUUCUGACUUCCUUCAAAUCACUGUUAAAAACCUGGCCCCUGGCCGCUCACUGCCUGUUCUUGUAUCUAUUUAUACAUGAAAUAAAUCCUACUUCAUUAUUCAUCUGAAUUUCAUCAUUUUAUACUCGUCAGUUCCAUUUUCCAAUAAUGUCAACAGCCAAUAUUGGCAUUGCUGAAGUGUAUGUGUGGAAAAAGUUGAACAAGGAGACAGAAAUGCUGAAAAGCCUGGGAAUUAAAGAGGCUAAGAAGGAAGUUUAUGGGACUACUUCACCCUCUUUCGGUUCUGGCUUGGGUUCAUGUUCCGGUGGCUGCAGCUUCCUCGGGGGUUUCUAUAGAAUUCACCCUGCAGCAUACUAAAAAAAUAAGAUAGCUCAGAAUAUAUAUGCAUGGUAACUAUUUGAUUUUGGUUAAACCAGUUUCUUUUGAAACUGUACUCUAUUUGUAUAUUCUUAUCAAGUUUUCGGUGUAAUAUAUUUUCUUUGUGGAAAUAAAAUGCUUGAACAUCAUCCAAUCUUGUCUAAUAUUACUUGCAAUGACGUAAACUCGUGAUUCCACAUAUACGACAUCCUUGGCUAACUAAACUUCACAGAAAGCAACUUCUAAAUUUCAAG
rnacentral:lncRNA from 1 species